AUACGUAGGGGGCGAGCGUUGUCCGGCAUGAUUGGGCGUAAAGGGCGCGUAGGCGGCCCGGUAAGUCUGGAGUGAAAGUCCUGUUUUUAAGAUGGGAAUUGCUUUGGAUACUGUCGGGCUUGAGUGCAGGAGAGGUAAGUGGAAUUCCCAGUGUAGCGGUGAAAUGCGUAGAGAUUGGGAGGAACACCAGUGGCGAAGGCGACUUACUGGACUGUAACUGACGCUGAGGCGCGAAAGUGUGGGGAGCGAACAGGAUUAGAUACCCUGGUAGUCCACACUGUAAACGAUGAAUGCUAGGUGUAGGGGGUAUCGACCCCUUCUGUGCCGCAGUCAACACAAUAAGCAUUCCGCCUGGGGAGUACGGCCGCAAGGUUGAAACUCAAAUGAAUUGACGGGG
rnacentral:rRNA from 1 species